AGGACGAACGCUGGCGGCGUGCUUAACACAUGCAAGUGGAGCGACGAACCAGGCUUCGGCCUGGGGCAGAGCCGCGAACGGGUGAGUAACACGUGGGUAACGUGCCCCGAUGACUGGGACAACCCGGGGAAACCGGCUAAUACCGGAUAUGCCCCCUCACGCGAGUGAGGUGUGUAAAGGAGCUUCGGCCUCCGCAUCGGGAUCGGCCCGCGGCCCAUUAGCUUGUUGGUGAGGUAACGGCUCACCAAGGCAACGAUGGGUAGCUGGUCUGAGAGGACGAUCAGCCACACUGGGACUGAGACACGGCCCAGACUCCUACGGGA
rnacentral:rRNA from 1 species